ACUUAUAUAAUAUAAAAAGUAUAAUUAACUUCCAAUUAGUAAGUCUAAAAUUUAGUAUAAGUA
rnacentral:tRNA from 1 species